rnacentral:rRNA from 1 species
UACGGGGGGGACAAGUGUUAUUCCCACUAACUGGGCGUAAAGGGCUUCUAGGCGGUUAUGGCCGUCAAAGGUGAAUUCCUAGAGUUAAUGCUAGAACGGCCUUUGAAACGCAUAACUUUGAGUUUUUUAAAAAGAAUGUACUAUGUUGAGAGUAGAGGUCGAAUGCUGUAAUACUCAACAGGGUUCCAGGGGCAGAGGCGACAUUCUAAAAAUAACUGACGCUAAAGAGCAAAAGCAUGGGGAGCAAACAGG